rnacentral:rRNA from 1 species
AGUGAACGCUGGCGGUAGGCCUAACACAUGCAAGUCGAACGGCAGCACAGUAAGAGCUUGCUCUUACGGGUGGCGAGUGGCGGACGGGUGAGGAAUACAUCGGAAUCUACUUUUUCGUGGGGGAUAACGUAGGGAAACUUACGCUAAUACCGCAUACGACCUACGGGUGAAAGCAGGGGAUCUUCGGACCUUGCGCGAUUGAAUGAGCCGAUGUCGGAUUAGCUAGUUGGCGGGGUAAAGGCCCACCAAGGCGACGAUCCGUAGCUGGUCUGAGAGGAUGAGCAGCCACAAGGGAACUGAGACACGGUCCAGACGCCUACGGGAGGCAGCAGUGGGGAAUAGUGGACAAUGGGCGCAAGCCUGAUCCAGCCAUACCGCGUGGGUGAAGAAGGCCUUCGGGUUGUAAAGCCCUUUUGUUGGGAAAGAAAAGCAGCAGGUUAAUACCCCGCUGUCCUGACGGUACCCAAAGAAUAAGCACCGGCUAACUUCGUG